UACAGAGGGGGCAAGCGUUGUUCGGAAUUACUGGGCGUAAAGGGCGUGUAGGCGGCCUUCUAAGUCGGACGUGAAAGCCCCAGGCUUAACCUGGGAACUGCGUCCGAUACUGGGAGGCUUGGAUUCGGGAGAGGGAUGUGGAAUUCCAGGUGUAGCGGUGAAAUGCGUAGAUAUCUGGAGGAACACCGGUGGCGAAGGCGGCAUCCUGGACCGAGAUCGACGCUGAGGCGCGAAAGCUAGGGGAGCAAACAGG
rnacentral:rRNA from 1 species